rnacentral:rRNA from 1 species
UGCAGUCGAACGCUUUGUGGUUCAACUGAUUUGAAGAGCUUGCUCAGAUAUGACGAUGGACAUUGCAAAGAGUGGCGAACGGGUGAGUAACACGUGGGAAACCUACCUCUUAGCAGGGGAUAACAUUUGGAAACAGAUGCUAAUACCGUAUAACAAUGACAACCGCAUGGUUGUUAUUUAAAAGAUGGUUCUGCUAUCACUAAGAGAUGGUCCCGCGGUGCAUUAGCUAGUUGGUAAGGUAAUGGCUUACCAAGGCGAUGAUGCAUAGCCGAGUUGAGAGACUGAUCGGCCACAAUGGGACUGAGACACGGCCCAUACUCCUACGGGAGGCAGCAGUAGGGAAUCUUCCACAAUGGGCGAAAGCCUGAUGGAGCAACGCCGCGUGUGUGAUGAAGGGUUUCGGCUCGUAAAACACUGUUGUAAGAGAAGAAUGACAUUGAGAGUAACUGUUCAAUGUGUGACGGUAUCUUACCAGAAAGGAACGGCUAAAUACGUGCCAGCAGCCGCGGUAAUACGUAUGUUCCAAGCGUUAUCCGGAUU